ensembl:lncRNA TSBP1-AS1 TSBP1 and BTNL2 antisense RNA 1
UACGAGGAGGCCGCCUCCUGCUUGCCGGCCUGGCGGUCCUACUCAACACCGCAAGAUUUCAAAAGGGAAAUUCCUCCAGGGCUGAGUCACAGGGAAGAAAGCGAUUUCCUCCGCCUCUUCCAAAGCGGCCCCUUUGGUGCCAGUCUGCUGGAGUUUGCUGGAGGUCCACUCCUGACCCUGUUUGCCUGGGUAUCACCAGCAGAGGCUGCAAAGCAGCAAAGAUUGCUGCCUGUUCUUUCUUCUAGAAGCUUCGACCCAGUGGGGCACCUGUCAGAUGCCAGCCAGAGCUCUCCUGUAUCAGGUGUCUGUCGGUCCAAGCUAGAAGGUUGUGGGGCUAGACAAGAAGGAAAAAAAUCACUGUCCUCAUGGAAGUUAAAUUGUACUGACAAAGGAGGAAAAUGUCAGGGAGUUAACAAUUCAGUCUCUGUGGCUUCCUCCUGUCCUCUCCCUGAAACUGAGAUCCAGCCAAUCUGCACAUUUAUUCUGAGAGUGGCCCCACUUUAAUGACUACACCCAGCUGUCUACACACCAGGAGGGGAGGGAACUGUAUCCUGAGGCACCAACCCGAUUACCCACCCAACAGCCACAGGGACUUCCAGUGACUGGGGCAUCAUCCUCAAUGCCACCAACCCCUCUCCUUCCUGUGGCUUUUCUAACUGGAACUGGAACUCAGAAAGUACAUUAAUCACCAAUUUGGGAAGCUAUAGGAAAGUAUGUUUUCUAAUAUACAGUGAGAGAAUGUGACUGAUAAAACCAAUUUUCUUGAGACUUUCUCCCUGGAAAGUGAAUAUAUGUAUUCAUAGGGCCUUCACAAGCACAGACUAACAAGCAAAGAGCUACAUUCACUGGGAAGGAAGACUCAAAAUUUAAAAAUAGAAAAAAAAAUGAUGGCCCAGAAGAGCAAGUUCAGAGUGCUGUUCAUGAGUGAUCCGCAUGGGACCGCGAUGCCUCUGACGUCUGCCAUCCUGGAGAGCAGCAGAGCGUCACUAGCAGGUCCUCGUCUUCUCACUUCAUAACAUUCUUUCCAAAAGUCUUGUUGACAUUCUUCUGUCUUCCACAUAUAGUUUAUCUUCUUGAACUCAUUAUAACUUUAAAAUAUUUUUACUGUGUUACAUGUACUGCUUAUAUUUGUUUAUUUUAUAAUUAUUAAUUUUAAAUUGUGCACUUUAUUUUGCUCUAACAAUAAAAUUGACAUGUUCGUAUAGAUGAUACAUAA